rnacentral:rRNA from 1 species
GACAAGAAAUAACAAUACAGGACUUUUUGGUUUUGUAAUUGGAAUGAGUUAAGUAUAAACCCCUUUACAAGUAUCAAUUGGAGGGCAAGUCUGGUGCCAGCAGCCGCGGUAAUUCCAGCUCCAAUAGCGUAUAUUAAAGUUGUUGCAGUUAAAAAGCUCGUAGUUGGAUUUCUGUUAAUAAUUUAUAUAAAAUAUUUUGAUGAAUAUUUAUAUAAUAUUAACAUAAUUCAUAUUACUAUUUUUUUUUUUAGUAUAUGAAAUUUUACUUUGAGAAAAUUAGAGUGCUUAAAGCAGG